rnacentral:tRNA from 1 species
GGCCUGUUAGAUCAGCUGGUUAGAAGGUGGUGCUAAUAACGCCAAGGUCGUGGUUUCGAUCCCCACAUGGGCUA